GCCCUACUGGUCUAGUAGUAUGAUACCUGCUUCGGAGCAAUCCAGUCUUCGCAGAGGAUGAGAGUGCAGGUGGUCCCCGGUUCAAUUCCGGGGUAGGGCC